rnacentral:rRNA from 1 species
UCAAGCGACCAAGCGUAUACGGUGGAUGCCUUGGCAGUCAGAGGCGAUGAAGGACGUGGCAGCCUGCGAAAAGUGUCGGGGAGCUGGCAACAAGCUUUGAUCCGGCAAUGUCCGAAUGGGGAAACCCACCCGCGAGGGUAUCCAGUACUGAAUCCAUAGGUGCUGGAAGCGAACCCGGGGAACUGAAAUAUCUAAGUACCCGGAGGAAAAGAAAUCAACCGAGAUUCCCUCAGUAGCGACGAGCGAACGGGGACUAGCCCAAAAGUGCACAGUGUUCUAGUCGAAGGGUCUGGAAAGGCCCGCCGCAGACGGUGAUAGCCCGGUAGGCGAAAGGGCACCGUGCAUGAAAUUGAGUAGGGCGGGGCACGAGAAACCCUGUCUGAACAUGGGGGGACCAUCCUCCAAGGCUAAAUACUCCUGACUGACCGAUAGCGAACAAGUACCGUGAGGGAAAGGCGAAAAGAACCCCGGAGAGGGGAGUGAAAUAGACCCUGAAACCGUAUACGUACAAGCAGUGGAAGCCCGCAAGGGUGACUGCGUACCUUUUGUAUAAUGGGUCAGCGACUUACUGUCAGUGGCAAGCUUAACCGUCUAGGGGAGGCGAAGGGAAACCGAGUCUGAAUAGGGCGCAUAGUCUCUGGCAGUAGACCCGAAACCGAGUGAUCUAUCCUUGGCCAGGUUGAAGGUGCGGUAACACGCACUGGAGGACCGAACCCACAUCUGUUGCAAUAGAUGGGGAUGAGCUGAGGAUAGGAGUGAAAGGCUAAACAAACUCGGAGAUAGCUGGUUCUCCUCGAAAGCUAUUUAGGUAGCGCCUCGUAUGUAUCUUCCUGGGGGUAGAGCACUGUUAUGGCUAGCGGGUCAUCGCGACUUAGCAAACCAUGGCAAACUCCGAAUACCAGGACAGACUGUACGGGAGACACACGGCGGGUGCUAACGUCCGUCGUGAAAAGGGAAACAACCCAGACCCGCAGCUAAGGUCCCCAAGUUCUAGCUAAGUGGAAAACGAUGUGGAAAGGCAUAGACAGCCAGGAGGUUGGCUUAGAAGCAGCCAUCCUUUAAAGAAAGCGUAAUAGCUCACUGGUCGAGUCGGUCUGCGCGGAAGAUUUAACGGGGCUAAGCUAGACACCGAAGCUCGGGGUGCACACUCUGUGUGCGCGGUAGAGGAGCGUUCCGUAAGCCUGUGAAGGUGGAUCGUAAGGUCUGCUGGAGGUAUCGGAAGUGCGAAUGCUGACAUGAGUAACGAUAAUGCGGGUGAAAAGCCCGCACGCCGAAAGCCCAAGGUUUCCUCGCGCAACGUUCAUCGGCGCAGGGUGAGUCGGCCCCUAAGGCGAGGCAGAAAUGCGUAGUCGAUGGGAAGCUGGUUAAUAUUCCAGCACUUGACUGUAGUGCGAUGUGGGGACGGAGAAGGUUAGGUCUACCGGGCGUUGGUUGUCCCGGGGAAAGGCGGUAGGUGGGAUGCUUAGGCAAAUCCGGGCAUCCAUACACCGAGCACCGAGACGAGCCCUUUUUGGGCGAAGUGACUGAUACCACGCUUCCAGGAAAAGCCACUAAGCUUCAGCUACAGCAAACCGUACCGUAAACCGACACUGGUAGGCAGGGUGAGAAUCCCAAGGCGCUUGAGAGAACUCGGGUGAAGGAACUAGGCAAAAUGGCACCGUAACUUCGGGAGAAGGUGCGCCUGGUGGUGUGGUCACGUGCGUGACUGGGCACCGCCAGGUCUCAGUAACCUGGCCGCUGCGACUGUUUAUCAAAAACACAGCACUCUGCAAACACGAAAGUGGACGUAUAGGGUGUGACGCCUGCCCGGUGCUGGAAGGUUAAUUGAUGGGGUCAGCCGCAAGGCGAAGCUCUUGAUCGAAGCCCCAGUAAACGGCGGCCGUAACUAUAACGGUCCUAAGGUAGCGAAAUUCCUUGUCGGGUAAGUUCCGAC